AACUGAUUGAUGGUGCUUGCACCUGAUUGACGAUGGAUCACCAGUGAGUGGCGGACGGGUGAGUAACACGUAGGUAACCUGCCCCGGAGCGGGGGAUAACAUUUGGAAACAGAUGCUAAUACCGCAUAACAACAAAAGCCACAUGGCUUUUGUUUGAAAGAUGGCUUUGGCUAUCACUCUGGGAUGGACCUGCGGUGCAUUAGCUAGUUGGUAAGGUAACGGCUUACCAAGGCGAUGAUGCAUAGCCGAGUUGAGAGACUGAUCGGCCACAAUGGAACUGAGACACGGUCCAUACUCCUACGGGAGGCAGCAGUAGGGAAUCUUCCACAAUGGGCGCAAGCCUGAUGGAGCAACACCGCGUGAGUGAAGAAGGGUUUCGGCUCGUAAAGCUCUGUUGUUGGAGAAGAACGUGCGUGAGAGUAACUGUUCACGCAGUGACGGUAUCCAACCAGAAAGUCACGGCUAACUACGUGCCAGCAGCCGCGGUAAUACGUAGGUGGCAAGCGUUAUCCGGAUUUAUUGGGCGUAAAGCGAGCGCAGGCGGUUGCUUAGGUCUGAUGUGAAAGCCUUCGGCUUAACCGAAGAAGUGCAUCGGAAACCGGGCGACUUGAGUGCAGAAGAGGACAGUGGAACUCCAUGUGUAGCGGUGGAAUGCGUAGAUAUAUGGAAGAACACCAGUGGCGAAGGCGGCUGUCUGGUCUGCAACUGACGCUGAGGCUCGAAAGCAUGGGUAGCGAACAGGAUUAGAUACCCUGGUAGUCCAUGCCGUAAACGAUGAGUGCUAGGUGU
rnacentral:rRNA from 2 species